rnacentral:tRNA from 1 species
GGCCCCGAGCGUUGGACUGAGAAGUCGAUAAAGCCAUUGCAAUUCAACAACAUAUCUCUGUCUCUAUGUCUGCCUCAAAAUCAGGUUUCCUCACGGAAGUGUUGGUUCGAGUCCGACCGGGGGCACCA